GAUGAACGCUGGCGGCGUGCUUAACACAUGCAAGUCGAACGGAAAGGCCCUGCUCUUGCGGGGUGCUCGAGUGGCGAACGGGUGAGUAACACGUGAGUAACCUGCCCCUGUCUUUGGGAUAACUUCAGGAAACUGGGGCUAAUACCGCGUAGGAGCUCCUGCUGCAUGGUGGUGGUUGGAAAGUUUCGGCGGUUGGGGAUCGACUCGCGGCUUAUCCGCUUGUUGGUGUGGUAGUGGCUUACAAAGGCUUUGACGGGUAGCCGGCCUGAGAGGGUUACCGGCCACAUUGGGACUGAGAUACGGACCAGACUGCUACGGGAGGCAGCAGUGGGGAAUAUUGCGCAAUGGGCGGAAGCCUGAUGCAGCAACGCCGCGUGCGGGAUGACGGCUUACGGGUUGUAAACCGCUUUCGCCUGUGACGAAGCGUGAGUGACGGUAAUGGGUAAAGAAGCACCGGCUAACUACGUG
rnacentral:rRNA from 1 species